AACGAACGCUGGCGGCAUGCCUAACACAUGCAAGUCGAACGAGACCUUCGGGUCUAGUGGCGCACGGGUGCGUAACGAGUGGGAACCUGCCCUUAGGUUCGGAAUAACUACCCGAAAGGGGGGAUAAUACCGGAUAAUGUCUUUGGACCAAAGAUUUAUCGCCUUUGGAUGGGCCCGCGUUGGAUUAGCUAGUUGGUAGGGUAAAAGCCUACCAAGGCGACGAUCCAUAGCUGGUCUGAGAGGAUGAUCAGCCACACUGGGACUGAGACACGGCCCAGACUCCUACGGGAGGCAGCAGUGGGGAAUAUUGGACAAUGGGCGAAAGCCUGAUCCAGCAAUGCCGCGUGAGUGAUGAAGGCCUUAGGGUUGUAAAGCUCUUUUACCCGGGAUGAUAAUGACAGUACCGGGAGAAUAAGCUCCGGCUAACUCCGUG
rnacentral:rRNA from 1 species